CUUACAACAAGAACAACACUAUAACAAGCGACACACAUUGGAAAUGCUACACAUAAUUAACACACCAACCAACAAACGACUAAACUACAAGACAGACACAGAAAAUUGCGCUCACUUGUACAGACACCUCUUAAACAGCCAAACAACCUCAGUAACAAUCUCCACGUCAAAAAGCGCAGACGUGUAAAAUAAUUGCCCUGAAGACGGUUUGCCGAUGUGCAACCGAAAUAUAUCGGAAGAAAAUUAAAA